CUACGGGGGGCUCCAGUGGGGAAUAUUGCACAAUGGGCGCAAGCCUGAUGCAGCAACGCCGCGUGAACGAUGAAGGUCCUUGGGUCGUAAAGUUCUGUCCUUGGGGAAGAAACAAAUGACGGUACCCAAGAAGAAAGCCCCGGCUAAUUACGUGCCAGCAGCCGCGGUAAUACGUAAGGGGCGAGCGUUAUCCGGAAUUAUUGGGCGUAAAGAGUAUGUAGGUGGUUUUUUAAGCGCGAGGUUUAAGGCAAUGGCUCAACCAUUGUUUGCCUUGCGAACUGGAAAACUUGAGUGCAGGAGAGGAAAGCGGAAUUCCUAGUGUAGCGGUGAAAUGCGUAGAUAUUAGGAGGAACACCAGUGGCGAAGGCGGCUUUCUGGACUGUAACCGACACUGAGAUACGAAAGCGUGGGGAGCAAACAGGAUUAGAUACCCGAGUAGUC
rnacentral:rRNA from 1 species